rnacentral:rRNA from 1 species
UACAGAGGGUGCAAACGUUGCUCGGAAUUACUGGGCGUAAAGCGCGUGUAGGCGGACCGAUAAGUCAGGCGUGAAAUCCCCGAGCUCAACUCGGGAACUGCACCUGAAACUGCCGGUCUAGAGUGAUGGAGAGGGUAGCGGAAUUCCUGGUGUAGAAGUGAAAUUCGUAGAUAUCAGGAGGAACACCGGUGGCGAAGGCGACUACCUGGACAUUAACUGACGCUGAGACGCGAAAGCGUGGGGAGCAAACAGG